UAGGGAGCAAGCGUUAUCCGGAUUUAUUGGGUGUAAAGGGUGCGUAGACGGGUAUGCAAGUUAGUAGUGAAAUCCCUCGGCUUAACUGAGGAACUGCUACUAAAACUACAUAUCUUGAGUACUGGAGGGGAAAGUGGAAUUCCUAGUGUAGCGGUGAAAUGCGUAGAUAUUAGGAAGAACACCGGUGGCGAAGGCGACUUUCUGGACAGAAACUGACGUUGAGGCACGAAAGUGUGGGGAGCAAA
rnacentral:rRNA from 1 species